CUUCAUUUCCCAUGAUCACGGCGGGCCAAUGACAAUGACGUACAACUGGCUAUAAAUAUCAAGUCGCGGAAAGAUGACGUUCUUCUGGGGGACUGUUCCGCUGUGACAAGCCUCCUCAACAUGAGAGCCAAGUGGAGGAAGAAGCGUAUGCGCAGGCUGAAGCGCAAAAGGAGAAAGAUGAGGCAGAGGUCUAAGUAACCUGCCGUGGCCGCGCCGUCACGGGCUGUAAACACAGCCGGAGUCCAGCGGCCUCCCCGGGGCCAAGUCUGAGCCCGGUGGCCCCUGAGUGAACCUGAGGGAGCGGAGCCGCUGUCUGAGAACUGGAGAGCCGGUUCAGCAACACCUGGACGGACGACUGGCCCUCUGGGGCGUUCUGGACUUUGUUCUUAACUCCUUGUCUUCAUCGUUUUAUUUUUGUUUAUACUUCGAUUAAAGGUUUUGGGUUAAAAAACUAA